UGCCCCUCCCCCCACUUGUGCUCUCUCUCUUGCUCACUCUCUAUCUCUCAAAUAAGCAAAAUAAAAAAAAAAUCAUGAGUAAAUGAGGUGUAAUCUAAUCUGCUUGGAAUCGUGCAUAAACUUGCUUCUGGGUUAUGUUAGCAUAGAUUCCACGCCUAGGGAAGAGGACAGAGCAUAGCUCAUUGAGGUUAUCGCUGGCAUCUGCCUUAGAAACUGAAAAUUCAGGACCAAUAUUUAUGAAAAUGUAUGUGCUCACAGAAGUUAAGGAGCCAUGAUUUCAACCUUGGGGCUUGCUACAUUAUUUAGCCAGCAAGAUUGAGAAAAACAACAGAAACAAAGAGGAAUCCUGGAGUCACACUGUGAAGCUUGAUGGGUUCCCAAGAAUUACAGAGCGGGCGAGCCAGCUAAAUUCAGGAGGAACCAGAUUCACCGGACACCUUCACUGUCGAGUUGAAAUUAAUGGGAAGCCAGGUUCUGGAGGCAUCUGGGUUUCUUAAAAGCCUUAUUUCCCCAUCAUAAUAUGUUCGAUCGUGUAUGUGUGUGUGUGUUGUAAGUGACUAGACAUCUAUGUUUACAGGUAAGUAUAGGCAUAUGUGGUAUAUAUGUCUCCAGCUACUUUAUUGAAAGAU
rnacentral:lncRNA from 12 species